rnacentral:rRNA from 1 species
UACGUAGGGUGCGAGCGUUGUCCGGAAUUAUUGGGCGUAAAGAGCUUGUAGGCGGUUUGUCGCGUCUGCUGUGAAAAAUCCGGGGCUCAACCCCGGACUUGCAGUGGGUACGGGCAGACUAGAGUGUGGUAGGGGAGACUGGAAUUCCUGGUGUAGCGGUGAAAUGCGCAGAUAUCAGGAGGAACACCGAUGGCGAAGGCAGGUCUCUGGGCCACUACUGACGCUGAGAAGCGAAAGCAUGGGGAGCGAACAGG